rnacentral:rRNA from 1 species
UGCAUUGGAUUGAGAACAAUGUACAACUCUUAUCGAUAAGCCAUUGGAGGGCAAGUCUGGUGCCAGCAGCCGCGGUAAUUCCAGCUCCAAUAGCGUAUAUUAACGUUGUUGCAGUUAAAAAGCUCGUAGUUGAAGUGUGGGUGAUCGCUAUUGUGAGACUUCGGUCUCUCGACAGUAAGUCACCCCCUUCCAGUAUCCAGUAGUGGGUAUUCAGUUACUUACUAUUGUGUGUUGGUCGUUUACUGUGAGAAAAUUAGAGUGUUCAAAGCAGGCGUUUGCUUGAAUAGAUUAGCAUGGAAUAAUAAUUGAAGGCUUUCGUGUUCGAUUUGAUUGGUUUGUUCAUGGAAGCAAGGUUAAAAGGAACAGUUGGGGGUAUUCAUAUUCACUAGUUAGAGGUGAAAUUCUCGGAUUUAUGGAAGAUGAACAAGUGCGAAAG